UUCCGGAAGCAAGGAGGAAGGAAUGCUUUAUAGGUGGGUGGGUUUGAAGGAAAGGAAGAACAGCGCAUGCGUGGUUGUGCUCCGGCCGUUUAUUUGGAGCACGCACUCCUAAGGACACGAAGGUCGAAGUGCUCUCCUCCAUAUUCAGCCAGGUCCAAAGAGUCUAUGGAGUUUAUGACUGGAUGACCUAUCUAAUGGUGGGAGAGAAAUCCUGGGCCUAAUGAUUGUGCUUGUUUACUGUGUUCAAUCUGAAUCUAGAUUGGAAGAGUUGAAGAGCAGGCAAAAUAUCAAAGAAAAUAGGACUACUACUCUGGAAAUUUGGAAAUCUAUUAUCCAUAGGCCAAGAAGAACAACCCAAGGACUCUAUUUUUGAAGGUCAUUAAAGUUUAGAUAAGUCUAGAGGAGAGAUUAGAGAUCAACCCACUUGAUGCAUUAUUAGAAAGAUUCAUGGUACUGAUUACUUCCUUUAGCAUUUGACUCUUGGUCCUUUUGUUGCAAGCUCCUUAUUCCUGAGAAACUGGCUGUGGUCACCAUAGUGGGUCAAAAAAAACCCUUAGUGGCAGAGGUUGGGAAUUACCAUCCUCUAAACCCAAGCGUGUCAUUGAUGUCUUGAACAUAUUACCAGAUACUCAUGAUACAUAGGAUAGACUUCACCCUUGGGAGAAUGACCUUCUGAAAAGAAGUAUGGAAUCAUCAUUAGAGCCAUUAGAGGGGACAUCUCAAAGUCAUAUAGAUAAGAUUUCACAAGAUCCAUCUGUGCUCCCAGUCCAGAGAGGAAAGCAAGACCCACGUCCAAAAAAGCAUAGGCAUCCUAAGAAGGGUGAAAGGACAAAGAGAAUGAAAAAGAGAAAGAAGAAGGAGAAAAUGAAGGCCCAGUGCCCCCCGAGUCUUCUAACAUCUUUGGCACCACCACAAAGAGAAGAAGAUGAAACUACAGAUAAAACACCAGCCCUACACAGUACCGAAAAUGAUUCUGUCUUUCACCAUGAGGACAGGGUACAGAGACAGCAGGACAAGAGUCCCUGUGUGAUGGAUCUGGAAUGUCAGAUCCAGCCCUGUGAGCUCUCAGUGGCUCAGGAACCUGGGCCACCUUCACCUGCAGUGACAUCCUUGGCAUCACCACCACCCUGCUUUGGUCGUUUCCUAAGCUGUGUCUGUCAGACCUUCUCAAAAUCUAGGAAAAGGAAACUUUGCAGAAGAAAGAGCAGCAACCAAGAUGAAACAGGAGGUGAUGCUAAAGUUCCAAGACCUGGUCAGCUAAGUGACCUGGGCCAAAACAAAAUGUAACCUCACCAAAGCCUGUAGCAAGAUGGAAUUGAUAUAGCUUCUGCUCAUGUUUGGUUUUAUAGUUUUUUUCUAUAUGUCAUUGUUCCUGUUAGUUGGCUUUAACUCUAUCAAAUAGAGUUCAACUCUAUCAAACUUCUUUUAUGCUGAGAUUCACAAGCUUAAAGAGGAAGUAAAAACAAAGUAAAAGUAACUUUGAGGGUUUUAACUCUAUACCCAGUGAUGGGAUUACUUCCUUCUUCCUUCACAUUAGUCUGAAGUGGGAUUCACUUUUGUGUUUACUCAUGUAUUCAGCCAACUUAAUUUUGCCUGACUUCUCUGAGAAUGGGAGGCCAUACAAAUCUGUCAUUUUGAGUAGUUUCCUCCAAUAUCAACAACCAUGUUGCUACUCCUCAUACUCGGCUUCUCUCUUUCUCUUUUACUUUUGGCUGGAGAUUUAUUUUGCAUUUUAAACCUUCAGUUGCUUGGUUGAAAUUCUGCCACUUAUUAUCUGAUUUGAAUAACCCUAAGGGUAUGGUGGCUGUUUCUGUUCUCCAAUGGAUACAACUGUGUUCUCAGAAUUCUAUCUCUAACCAGUGUUUGUUUUCCUUUUGGCCACUUGUUAGUAAGACACUUGGUUUUUCCUUCUGAUGUGUGUCUUUGGUAUUUUUUAAAAAUUCCUAUGUAUUGAAAACAGUCACCCAAGGCAGUGUUCCUUCCUUGUCAUUUUUUAGUCAGGCUUUCACAGAGCUUUGAGUUUCUUGUGAGAAUCCUAAAGAAGAUAAACUUUUCUUUAAAAGUUAAAGGUCAUUUCAUUUACCUUUAUUCUGUUGUGUUUGGUUAAUCUUUUUGCUAGGAUAUAAAAUAAGACUUCAGUUUAUUUGGUGCUGGGGUUUGAACCUAGGAUACUAACUAAACAGGUGCUCUACCACUGGCCAUAUCCUCAGCCCAAAAUAGAAGUUUAAAUUAAUCUUAUACCUUCUUUUGAGAAAGUAUGUUUAAGAAAAUUUAGGAGAUUCCCUGUAGUUUCCAUUACCUGUUAUUUACCAUGUAUCCCAGUUUAUCAACUCAUAUAAGAAAAAUAUAAAUAUAAAUAUAAAUAAAUAUGUGUUGAAAAUA